rnacentral:lncRNA from 1 species
UCGGAGAAGCUCGGGCACUGACGAAGUUUGGAGUAGAGUCAUCCGUGGUCGGAAGAAGUUGGGAAGAGAUUCGGAGAAUAGCCGAUCAUCGUAGAAAAUCGGUCGAUAGUGGAGUCCAGAGGGUGUUUGAAGCAAUCCAAUAGAUGAAUGAGGAAGCUCAUUAUCGAAGAAGUCCGGAUGGUGUUAUGGAAGCUCAAACGAUCGAGGGAGUUCAGAAAGAUGCCACACA